GUGGGGAAUCUUGCGCAAUGGGCGAAAGCCUGACGCAGCCAUGCCGCGUGGAUAAUGAAGGUCUUAGGAUUGUAAAAUCCUUUCACCGGUGAAGAUAAUGACUGUAGCCGGAGAAGAAGCCCCGGCUAACUUCGUGCCAGCAGCCGCGGUAAUACGAAGGGGGCUAGCGUUGCUCGGAAUUACUGGGCGUAAAGGGCGCGUAGGCGGAUCGUUAAGUCAGGGGUGAAAUCCCAGAGCUCAACUCUGGAACUGCCCUUGAUACUGGCGAUCUUGAGUGUGAGAGAGGUAUGUGGAACUCCGAGUGUAGAGGUGAAAUUCGUAGAUAUUCGGAAGAACACCAGUGGCGAAGGCGACAUACUGGCUCAUUACUGACGCUGAGGCGCGAAAGCGUGGGGAGCAAACAGGAUUAGAUACCCGGGUAGUCC
rnacentral:rRNA from 1 species